GACGAACGCUGGCGGCGUGCUUAACACAUGCAAGUCGAACGGAAAGGCCCUGCUUUUGUGGGCUGCUCGAGUUGCGAACGGGUGAGUAACACUUGAGUAACCUGCCCUUGCCCUUGGGAUAACUUCAGGAAACUGGGGCUAAUACCGGAUAAGAGCUCCUGCUGCAUGGUGGGCGUUGGAAAGUUUCGGCGGUUGGGGAUGGACUCGCGGCUUAUCAGCUUGUUGCUUGGGUAGUGGCUUACCAAGGCUUGGACGGGUAGCCUACCUGGGAGGCUGACCGGCCACAGUACGACUGGGAUACGGCACAGACUCGAAUGGGAGGCAGGAGUGGAGAAUAUUGCACAAUGGGCGGAAGGCAGGUGUGAUACCGCAGCGUGCGGGAUGACGUGAUUCGGGUUGUAAACAGAUGUCGUCUGUGCCGAAGCGUGAGUGACGGUAAUGGGUAAAGAAGCACCGGCUAACUACGUG
rnacentral:rRNA from 1 species